rnacentral:rRNA from 1 species
GAUGAACGCUAGCGGCAGGCUUAACACAUGCAAGUCGAGGGGCAGCACGUCUUCGGAUGGUGGCGACCGGCGCACGGGUGCGUAACGCGUAUACAACCUACCUUAUAGAGGGGAAUAGCCCAGAGAAAUUUGGAUUAAUGCCCCAUAGUAUUAUUGAAUAGCAUUAUUUGAUGAUUAAACAUUUAUGGCUAUAAGAUGGGUAUGCGUUCUAUUAGCUAGAUGGUAAGGUAACGGCUUACCAUGGCAACGAUAGAUAGGGGUCCUGAGAGGGAGAUCCCCCACACUGGUACUGAGACACGGACCAGACUCCUACGGGAGGCAGCAGUGAGGAAUAUUGGACAAUGGGCGAGAGCCUGAUCCAGCCAUGCCGCGUGCAGGAAGACGGCCCUAUGGGUUGUAAACUGCUUUUAUACGGGAAGAAACACUCCUUCGUGAAGGAGCUUGACGGUACCGUAAGAAUAAGGAUCGGCUAACUCCGUGCCAGCAGCCGAC